rnacentral:lncRNA from 10 species
GGGAGGUGGAGGUUGCAGUGAUGCAGUGAGCCGAGAUUGCACCACUGCACUCCAGCCUGGGUGACAGAGCAAAACUCUGUCUUUAAUAAAGUAAUGUUAACUAUUAAUGUCAUCACUGGAGUUAGUACUCACACAUCACUAUUCUUUUCUCUGAUCACUUUCUCAAUCCUACCUCAUCAUGUGACCAAAACAUGUCUAUUUGAGUUGAAAGUGUUUUUGCCAUGUUAGACACUUUCCUGCUAAGAGACAGGAUAUUGAGCAAACUUCUUAAUAAGUUAGUGUUGCUAUUUUAUUUAUAUAUGUAUAUAUACCUACACAUAUACACACACACAUUAUUUUGCUGUGGCUACUUUUAAUUUUAUAGAAUCCAUUUUUGUUGAGGCCCUCCUCAUAGGCAGUUAUUU